rnacentral:rRNA from 1 species
GGAAACUGCCUGAUGGAGGGGGAUAACUACUGGAAACGGUAGCUAAUACCGCAUAACGUCGCAAGACCAAAGUGGGGGACCUUCGGGCCUCAUGCCAUCAGAUGUGCCCAGAUGGGAUUAGCUAGUAGGUGGGGUAACGGCUCACCUAGGCGACGAUCCCUAGCUGGUCUGAGAGGAUGACCAGCCACACUGGAACUGAGACACGGUCCAGACUCCUACGGGAGGCAGCAGUGGGGAAUAUUGCACAAUGG